rnacentral:rRNA from 1 species
UACGUAGGGUGCGAGCGUUGUCCGGAAUUACUGGGCGUAAAGAGCUCGUAGGUGGUUUGUCGCGUUGUCCGUGAAAACUCACAACUCAAUUGUGGGCGUGCGGGCGAUACGGGCAGACUUGAGUUCGGCAGGGGAGACUGGAAUUCCUGGUGUAGCGGUGAAAUGCGCAGAUAUCAGGAGGAACACCGGUGGCGAAGGCGGGUCUCUGGGCCGAUACUGACGCUGAGGAGCGAAAGCGUGGGGAGCGAACAGG